rnacentral:rRNA from 1 species
UACGUAGGGCGCAAGCGUUGUCCGGAAUUAUUGGGCGUAAAGAGCUCGUAGGCGGUCUGUCGCGUCGGAUGUGAAAGCCCGGGGCUUAACCCGGGUCUGCAUUCGAUGACGGGCAGACUAGAGUGUGGUAGGGGAGAGUCGGAAUUCCUGGUGUAGCGGUGAAAUGCGCAGAUAUCAGGAGGAACACCGAUGGCGAAGGCAGGUCUCUGGGCCAAUAACUGACGCUGAGAAGCGAAAGCAUGGGGAGCGAACAGG